ACCUACGCCAUCCUGAAACGACUCCUCUUCCUCCCUUCUCCAACUCAUAUGCCGUUACAAACCAGCUUCUGUCUUAAAGCACCCCCACAUACCUCAUAUUACUCAUCCACCUUCUUCUGUAAAUGCCCAAUAUGUUGAAAUUGAAACUGCUGAGCAAGUUUCAAAACCUCUUCAUCCUCCCAGUUACGUCUACUAUAUAAUGGAGAUUCCAGUCUACGGCGGAAUCCAACUCUUACCUUACUCCCCACAUUUCAUAACGAAGCUAAAACUCAUUAUGCUUCUCCAAUUCUUUAUUCCGAAGAUAAAACCACUUCAUGAAGUUGAGCUCUAAGAGCUGCGGAUUCAAACUUUUCAGAAAUGGAUUUGUGCUAAUUUUAUGGUGAAAAAAUAAACGGUUUAAGGUUCGCGACGUCGCAUCACCUCCACUCUCCUUACGCUUUAGAUGAAGAACCAUCGAAACCCAACGAUUGACAAGCUUCACCAGCUUGAGGAAACAUUUCAAUGAAGGCUGGCGAAAGAGAUAUACAAGCUUCCCUGACAUUGCCCGUCAAGCAAAAUUUCAUUGUCUUCCUGUCCCAGGAUAUUAGCUGCAGAAGAAUGAUAUUUGUCAAAGAAGCAAAGAUGCCCCAGUUGCAUGGUCAUAGUAAAUGGUUGAUUCCUUAGAUACAUGAGAAUCAAGUGACAGAGAUGACAAGGAAUAAGGAAAAAAAAGUCGACAAGGAAUAAGAGAGUCAAGAGUUUAGGCAAAGAGGAUCAUUGGUAUACAUACAUAUAUAUAUAUAUAGUAUCAUUCAUAUACGACAAAAUCUGGCAUAUAUGGCUGAUUAGUUUGUCAUAUACUAAUAAUCUGUUUCCAUUUCCCAAUAGG